UGGCGAUUUUCAAAGAUUUCGCAAUAAAAUGCAAAGUCACUCGCCGCGCGCUGCACCGCCACCGUGUCGCCGCUGCCACCUUGCCUUUUGUAAGACCAUCCCCGCAGCGUUUUUCAAAGAAUCACCCACGCCCUGUCAGUUUCUCUUGCUGCGGCGCCGCUCGCUUUCAAUCACCGCCGUCACCCUCUAGUUUGUAGAAAAAAUGUCAUAUCCAUACUAAAUAGAUCAGUUACAACAAGCACACGUACAUGGUGAUCAUCAGCAGACUCACCUGUUUCGUCAUUUCCUCCAAGAUGGGAGUGCGAUGAUACAUCUGAUUGACAGAACUAGAGGCUCAAGUUCUUCAAAGUGUUAAAGGUAACUAUACACAGUAAAUAAACCAACGUGCAGCCUGGAUGCCACAUUUUCUUUCACAAUCAGAGGAUAUACUCACGAACAAGUUCAAUUGAAGGCUAGAGUUUGGAGUGGGGUCGAAUAAAGUGACAAAUAUGGCGGUUAUAACCCAUCUCAAAGGUCAUUUCAUAUUCGACGACUCAGACCAAGUUAUGAUGGAUUUCAUUAAUCAUGUGAAGCAAAUAACGUACAAGGAAUAUAAGGUAAAGUUGUAUAAAUACAACAGAGAACAACCCACACCUGAGAUUGCUCACAACAAACAACUUGAAGAGUUGUUGGCAAGACCAGUAGAUUGGAACAUGUUAUCCGAUAGAUGAGAGAUAGAUGAGUGGAAGAUAGUUUACAAAUAUAACUUAUACUUAUUUUUUAUACUUUAUAUUCGAUAUUUUUUUAUAUAAUUUUCUUUUGCUAACAACAAUCUGAGACCAACAAAUGCAAUAGGAUGAAGCUCCCGUUCAACCAUCACGUUAGGUCGAAAGCGUUUGUUACUAUUGCCAAGGAAAAGUGCAGAAAGAGUAAGAGGGAGGCGAACACUUUGGUGAAAUUGAUUUGUUCGAGGAGACAAGAUACUCUGAUAUUAAAGGUUGGGUCGAGGGUGCCGAGACAACAUACAUAAAUUUACUACUCUUGUAAUAAUUAAUUUCAAAUUACAUUUGAAAUUAUUUUGUUGCUUUUGAACUAUUUAUGCAAUUAGACAUGAUACGUCUCAGAAAAGAAUCUAUUAGAAAAGGUAUCAAAUCGAUGUUAGACCCAGAAGUAAUAGAAAUGGUUCUUGGGUCUCGAUCAGACUAUGUUAAAAGCUCUGAUUGGGGCCCACAACC